CAGAGACCUGAGCAGUCUUCUGAUUUUCGUUUCUCAGCCAGGAGUGCCUGUGGGAAGAAAAUAAAUGGUUAUAUUCUCUUCCCAGAGCCCCAGCCUGUCUGAGGAGCCUGGGACCGAGCACACAGGAAGUUGUUUGUCCGCAGUCCCUGGAACCCUGCGUGGGGUUUUGGCUUAGAGUGUGGCAGGAGGUGGAGGAUAGGGAGGCAGAGAGCAAUGCGGACGGAGUGAUACCCUCAUCAAAAGUGACGGGGCCUUCCAAGAGCCCUGCCGUCUCGCCUUGCCGUCUGGGAGCCACGACUGUUAUCUCCCUCACCGACUUCUACAGAAUUAGCCUCACUGAGCAGGAGGAUUCUGGAGGCGGGGAGAUGGAGAGCUGCAGUGAGAACCAGCAUGACAGAGACGGCACAGCGAGAGCACAGUGUGUCCAGAUGAGGAGAGCAUCUUAGAAAGGGGGCGGUCUGUCAAGAGGAUGAGCUGGCUUCACUCGUAACAGCACAAUUGCCGCAACAACUUCCAUUUCUU
rnacentral:lncRNA from 1 species